AUUAAUAAUCGAGGUCGUGAACCUCACUAAUUAAAU
ncrna:unclassified sequences S16-Flavobacteria ribosomal protein leader